AAUGUCUGUCAUUUUGUUAGGAACGCCUCUCUGUGCUCAAAAAUAAAACUAGUUUGUUGACCGGUCUACACUACAGCACAGAAAAGGCUAUACUGACACUCCUGACAUACAAAAAAAUAUUUAAUUUGAGAAUUAGUUCAAAGUAGGUUAUGUUUAUGGUCAGGAUUAAGGUAACGGGUCAGUUCUAGAUUUUGGCUACUUGUUUACAGGACAGGAGUGUCCUUAUAGCCGGUACCCCAGCACGUGACUUAACAAAGCAAUGUUGGCCAACCAGGAGUUGCGUUAAAGGGUGCGCAUAGCCAGAGAGGAAGAGGGAUUCAACUAGUUGCCACAAAGUCAAAAUUGGCAAAAUAGUGAAAACGAACAUUUGCUUCUUGAUCUUAAUUUAAGGUGUGGUUAAGGUUAAGUUUAAUAUUUUCAGAUACAUUUUUGAAAUCGGUGGGAUUUAUGCCUUUGUUGAUGUGGUAACUAGUAUCGACCGAGGAAGAGACAAAGCUCUUUGGCAUGAGAGAGGCAAUACGGACACGCCUGGAGCACAAAAUUGAUGACGUAUGUCGCACAGCGAGAGUUGAGUGGAGACGAACGGAUUCUGUUCAGUCAGUCAUCGUAACUAGCUCUCGAUGUUUUCGUAAAGGGACGCCAAAUGACCUAUGGGAACUCCUUCCCCUUCACGUGAUCUGAUUGAGAUGUGCUGAAUUUGACAUUUGUCUGCCAAAGUUGGAACUUGUGAGAUUACUCAGAUAAAAACAGAAUGAAUCUGACCAACCAACAACCACGGAUAACCACAAGGAGAAUAAGGGGGAGACUCGUCGAGGCCUUGGUGACAGACGGAGAAAACGUCACGAGGCGAUGGCUCCAUCUGCUGGACGUGCCAGGUCUCGAGGGGAUCUCCGGCCAGGACUAAUUGGGGCUGUUUGGGGAUUGGUGAGUAAUCAUGGGCUGAUUGCUCACCAGCUGUACAGGUACCAUAAAGCUGCCAGAAGCGCAGCACACAGGAGAGACUGGGGGAGGAAAGGACUCCUGUAUAGUUGGGGAUGGUACCAGAGGUAACAUGAAGGAGUUUACUUUUGACCCCCACAGGAUACAGCAAGACCCGGAGCCCAGAAGACUGUAUCCUAGAGAGGGUCUCUUGGGGGAGACCUAUUCUUUUCUUUUGGACUAUUAUUGUAAUAAACACCUUUGAAACUGA